rnacentral:rRNA from 1 species
GAAUCUUAGACAAUGGGCGCAAGCCUGAUUUAGCCAUGCCGCGUGAGCGAUGAAGGCCUUAGGGUUGUAAAGCUCUUUCACCGGGGAAGAUAAUGACGGUACCCGGAGACGAAGCCCCGGCUAACCCCGUGCCAGCAGCCGCGGUAAUACGGAGGGGGCUAGCGUUGUUCGGAAUUACUGGGCGUAAAGCGCGCGUAGGCGGAUUGUUAAGUCGGGGGUGAAAUCCCGGGGCUCAACCCCGGAACUGCCUCCGAUACUGGCAGUCUUGAGUCCGAGAGAGGUGAGUGGAAUUCCGAGUGUAGAGGUGAAAUUCGUAGAUAUUCGGAAGAACACCAGUGGCGAAGGCGACUUGCUGGACAGUGAUUGACGCUGAGGUGCGAAAGCGUGGGGAGCAAACAGG